AAACCGCCGUUUUCACCCGUUUUCAAUGCCUAAAAACAGACGCGCAGUGCGUUUGAAAAGUAUUGAUGGAGUUCAACUGCAAAAUGUGAAUACUAGGAUAUCUUCACUUAUUAAGGUAACUUCUCUCGAUUCUUUAAUAUUUUUCUUUGAACCCCCCCCCCCCCCUCCCAAAAAAAAUCCAACAGAGAGAGAGAGACAGAGAGAGAGAGAGAGAGAGAGAGAGAGAGAGAGAGAGAGAGAGAGAGAGAGAGAGAGAGAGAGAGAGAGAAUAGUCGUAAUGGAACAAGUAAGAUUAAGAUCUUUUUCAUGAUUAUCUCUAAAUAUGAAAAUAUUUCAGUCGAUUAAUGACAAAUUUCAAGUCCGCUUAUGAAAGAAUGUUGCGUUUAUUAACAUUGUUCUCUUCGAAUGACGUGUAUAUUUAGGAUUGUGCAAUAUAUCCAAAAGUAGCUGGCUAUUAAAAACCCUUCUGUUGAAACUUUCUAUACAUUUUCAAAAUAUUUUGUUUUUCUCGAAUUGGAGUGGCAGCGUAUUUCAAUGUUCGUUUUAUUAUUUGACUAAAAGAAAAAGAGAAGCUAGUGAAAUGUAAGCCUAAAUGAACACGUUUCAUAUUCGUGUUCCUUUUAAGAGUGUUCUUGAUGAGGUUUUCAGUUCUAUGAAAAUUAUCAUUUCUAUUAUUUGAAUGGGUCAAUCUUUUCUUAAAAAUAGGAAUAUUUAUUUGAAUACAAGUCGUUGCAUGUAUGACAGACUAAAUAAGGCUUAAUGCGUUCCAUCAACGGUAUAAAAAUAGAUGGCAUGGCAUGCAAUAUAAAGAAAUCUUUUUAAAAAAAAGUCACACUUUCCUUUUAAAAGGAAUAGGAAGGUUCUCUUUUAACAGACAAAGAAGGGAUUAUCCCCUUAAAAACAUAUACGCCUCCUUCGAUUAUUCAAACUGUCUAAGACCCCGUCGAUAUAAUUACCAUCCCUAUCCCUUAAAGCUAGCAAAUAAGCAAUUACAUGAAAAUGAUAUUCUAAAGUUAAAGUUCACUUUGUGGAGAUCAAAUGCUUAAUAUAUAUUUAUGCUAGCAACGGUUGCAAUUAUGAUUCAUUUUUUCCAUGUUGAGUAAAUGAGCAAUUACAUCAUAUUCAAUUAUAAAUAUGGGUAAAGGUUUUUCUUUCGAAAAUUCCAAAACACAUAUUCCUUAAUUUACGAGCAAAAUCUUUGAUGUUCUGUUCCGAAAUCGUUAUAUUUUAUUUUCCUAUUUUUAAAAUUGCAUUUUAAAAAGCCCACCUCGAAGUUGCAAUUUCACACUCCGGUAGUACGUACGUUAAUUCCAAACCCAGUGAAGUCAGUCCUAGCUUGUGCAAGUCUUCGGCGGUAUUAGAAAUUUGUAUUAGAGCAUGAAUAAUUUAAAACGGGUAUUCCACAAAAAUGUUAAAUCUUUACAGACAAUCAACCUAUCAACCUAAUGACUUGGGGAAAUUUUAAGGCAAUUUAUUCGAAUGAGAGUCGGAAUACGGGAAGAUAAACUGCUUUCAAAAUUACAUACCAUAGUUUGUCAUAGUCAUUACAUUUAUUUGAUCAUUAAUGGGAGAAUAAGUCCUAAGUAAUAUGAUAAAAGUUUACCAUUUUUGAUUUUGGGACUUACUUUGUAGAAUAAAGCAAAAUCAAUUUUUAACACUUUCC
rnacentral:misc_RNA from 1 species